CGGGGGGAGCAAGCGUUGUUCGGAUUUACUGGGCGUAAAGGGCGCGUAGGCGGUCAGCACAAGUCAGUUGUGAAAUCUCCGGGCUUAACUCGGAAAGGUCAACUGAUACUGUGCGACUAGAGUGCAGAAGGGGCAACUGGAAUUCUCGGUGUGGCGGUGAAAUGCGUAGAUAUCGAGAGGAACACCUGCGGCGAAGGCGGGUUGCUGGGCUGACACUGACGCUGAGGCGCGAAAGCCAGGGGAGCGAACGGGAUUAGAUACCCCGGUAGUCCUGGCCUUAAACGAUGGAUGCUUGGUGUCUGGAGUUAUAUAGUCUCCGGGUGCCGCAGCUAACGCGUUAAGCAUCCCGCCUGGGGAGUACGGUCGCAAGACUG
rnacentral:rRNA from 1 species